GCACGCUCAGGAUGCUGGCGGAAGGCUUCCAAACUGCCCGUCUUGAAACACGGACCAAGGAGUCUAACAUGUAUGCGAGUUGGUGGGUGGAAAACCCAUGAAGCGCAAGUAACCUGACUGGUGAGAGGGCCUUCAAAAGCCUGCAUCAUCGACCGACCAUGAUCUUCUGUGAAAGGUUUGAGUACGAGCAUACCUGUUGGGACCCGAAAGAUGGUGAACUAUGCCUGAGCAGGGCGAAGCCAGAGGAAACUCUGGUGGAGGCUCGUAGAUGUGCUGACGUGCAAAUCGCUUUUCGGACUUGGGUAUAGGGGCGAAAGACUAAUCGAACCAUCUAGUAGCUGGUUCCCUCCGAAGUUUCCCCCAGGAUAGCUGGAGCUCGGUCAGUUUUAUCGGGUAAAGCGAAUGAUUAGAGGCACCGGGGAUGUAACAUCCUCGGCCUAUUCUCAAACUUUAAAUAGGUAAGACGUCUGGGUUGCUUAAUUGAACCCAGGCACUCAAUGAGAGCUCCAAG
rnacentral:rRNA from 1 species